UACGAAGGGGGCUAGCGUUGUUCGGAAUUACUGGGCGUAAAGCGCGCGCAGGCGGUCCUUUAAGUCAGGGGUGAAAGCCCAGAGCUCAACUCUGGAACGGCCUUUGAAACUAGAGGACUUGGGUACGGGAGAGGUGAGUGGAAUUCCGAGUGUAGAGGUGAAAUUCGUAGAUAUUCGGAAGAACACCAGUGGCGAAGGCGGCUCACUGGCCCGUUACCGACGCUCAGGCGCGACAGCGUGGGGAGCGAACAGG
rnacentral:rRNA from 1 species